rnacentral:rRNA from 1 species
UAGGGAAUCUUCGGCAAUGGGGGGAACCCUGACCGAGCAACGCCGCGUGAGUGAAGAAGGUUUUCGGAUCGUAAAGCUCUGUUGUUAAGGAAGAACGAGUGUGAGAAUGGAAAGUUCAUGCUGUGACGGUACUUAACCAGAAAGGGACGGCUAACUACGUGCCAGCAGCCGCGGUAAUACGUAGGUCCCGAGCGUUGUCCGGAUUUAUUGGGCGUAAAGCGAGCGCAGGCGGUUAGAAAAGUCUGAAGUGAAAGGCAGUGGCUCAACCAUUGUAGGCUUUGGAAACUGUUUAGCUUGAGUGCAGAAGGGGAGAGUGGAAUUCCAUGUGUAGCGGUGAAAUGCGUAGAUAUAUGGAGGAACACCGGUGGCGAAAGCGACUCUCUGGUCUGUAACUGACGCUGAGGCUCGAAAGCGUGGGUAGCAAACAGG